ensembl:lncRNA
CUAUAUGAUGAUGUAUUGUGUUAAUCUGAAGCAGUCUGCAUCACAGCUGUUUUAGAGCAUAUUGCUCAAGUCUCCCAUUUCUGAUUGUACCCUUGGAGACAGCCUAAAGGGGAAAAGCUUUGUGCCUGAGGAAAAAGAUAAAAAAGUGAAAAUAUUUCUUUUUAUCAUUCUGAUAGAAAAUUAAAGAAUCAUAGAAUAUCUCAAGCUGUAAGGGACCCAGAAGGAUGAUCGAGUUCAACUUCUGCAUGCAACUGAGUGAAACAGAAAGGAAAUAGCCUGUAGUCUUCUGUGAUGACGAAUUUCUGCUGUACCAUGAAAGCACUGUGGAAGAGAGCCCUGCCAUCUAUGUAAAUACACUUAAAGAGCAGAAGAUCUUCUGCACUCUCUUUGUAGAUGUGAACGUGCUGUGUGUGCAAGGCAGAAGGUUGUGACAUGUCAUAAACUUCUCUAAUUUCUGCGGUCUUUUUACAGUCAUGAAUAGCAGUCAAUCUCUCUAAGCAACCCAUUCUGGAUUCUGGUUUAAAACCACUACAUAUUUGAAGUUAGAAACAAGAGAUAUUUUAGUAUUCUACCUCUUUCAACAUGUACUUUCUGUCUUGAUUUAAGUCCAAGAACUUAGUAAUAUGGUAGGCAGAAACUCACCUGUCAGAGAAGUUUACUUUUUUGGACAAAUGUCAUGCUAGAAAUCAUGGGAUGAUUUCAGAUAUUUUCAUCAUUAAAAGAAAUGUUGGAGUAAACCAUGGACAUGUGGACAUGAACUGAUGUGAAGUGAAUAGAUUGCAGACAAAAUUCUUCUCUCAUCUGGAGUAGAUUCAUUUGCUUCAGUGAAACAAUUCUGGAUUUCCAGUGAUGUAAUUUGGAACAGCAUCUGGCUUCAGAUACAUAAGAAGAUCUCCUUGUAAUGGUUUAUAUCACUGACUACUUACUGCAUGAUUUUGCUAUGCUUUUCGUAGUUCUUAUUAGCUACACAUAAUCGUUAGUCUUAAAUCUUUCUCGUGUUUCAUACAAGGCCAAUAAAAGCCUUGCAGAACGAGGAAAAUGUACAUUUCCUUCAGAUCACCACUGUGUAGCAUCUUUCAAAACUUAGUUAAAAUCACAGUCAACAAUUAUCUUCUCUUUUUAGUUUGGAUAUUACUUUAUGGAAUACAGGUGAAGGAAAAGCCUCUCAGUUCUGUCUGUUCUUCACAUAAAGCAAGUCGGUGCAACAAGUCAGAGACAUUUACUUGGCGAACAGCCUUCAAUUAGUGGGAUUUUUCCCAUAAGGACUCUUCCUCUAUUUGAGUAAAUGUAUGUUGUGUUGACAGACAUCCAUUCUAGUCACCUUCGCAUAGUUUCAUUAUUAUUUUCUUUUAAACAAAUAAAUACAGUGCAGGACCUGCCUUCUCUCAAACCUGUGGCCAAAUUCUGCUUCCAAACAUGACACCCAUUCAUCAUCAUACAGAAUGUAAAGGAGAGGUGGACUGAAAGUUACUCUUCCUCUGUCACUGUGUGGAUGUUUUAGUACAUCAUUCUUUUCACUACAAGGCUUUCAAAGUCACACUCUGAACAUGAGAACUGCAGGCAAUCUUCACUGCCUUCAGAAUCUGUUUUAAAUGUUUUAAACUUUUUAAUGCAAGAAGGCUUAAUAAAACUACAAGACAAUAGUGAAUACAUAUGUAAAUACGCUAAAUACGAUGAAGAAAUCAGCAUUUGCUAUUAUCCCACACAUUCUACAGUUGCAUUCUGUUGUAUAUUACAAAGCUGUAGCAUCUGAUUUCUUAAUGGUUAAGGCUGUACUUUGCAAAUAUGUUCAGAAAUAUCCACGCAGAUGUUUCUGUUUAAUCUUAUUACACUUGCUUUUCCAGCUUGGAAAUUUAAUUCCAGGAUCAUAAUUAAUAAUACAUAAUUAAUAAUUUCAUUUAGUCCGAGUGAUUACAAGGACUGUUGUGGUAGCCAAAAGCAAUAUUUGUGUCAUUUGCCUUUCAUUGAACUUCUAAGGUAGUGACACUUGUUUUAAUAAAAGAUAAAUAUUACAGUUGAGUCUGUUUAUUUUUUCCAUUACAUCUGGAUUCUCUUUCUGGCUUUCCUUUAGGUAAAUUUUUUACAAAUCUUUUCUCAAAGAAAAUAUUAAUGAUAUACCAUUAUCUUUUUCUAAAAGGCAG